AAAGGGAGCGUAGGCGGAUAGUUUAGUCAGAGGUGAAAGCCCAGGGCUCAACCUUGGAAUUGCCUUUGAUACUGGCUAUCUUGAGUACGGAAGAGGUAUGUGGAACUCCGAGUGUAGAGGUGAAAUUCGUAGAUAUUCGGAAGAACACCAGUGGCGAAGGCGACAUACUGGUCCGUUACUGACGCUGAGGCUCGAAAGCGUGGGGAGCAAACAGGAUUAGAUACCCUUGU
rnacentral:rRNA from 1 species